CCGAAGAUGAGAACUUUUGGAAAGGGAGAAAGUUGAGUCUUUCUUAUUUCUCCAUUUGACAGAAGAUAAGAAACUAAUAAAUAGAGCAUGAUGCUUAAUGGGGCACAUGGAAAUAUGAUAGAAUGAUGAGAUUUUGAAAUGCAUUUUAGAGUAAGAUGAACUUAGAAGGAAAUUUACAUGUGACAUUGUUGGAGAACAUGGUUUGUUAAUUAU
rnacentral:lncRNA from 1 species